UUGGCUUGGAAAGUCUGCCCCUUCGAACGUGCUGAGCGAUGCACAAUCGAGGAGGGAGGGUUGUAUGUGGAUGUUAACUGGCAGUUUGAACAUAUCUGAUAUGUCCGCGGAUAAAACGGGCCUUCAUCUAACUUGCGAGGUCAAGUGAGAUCAGCUAUGCUGGGUCCAUGCAACUGUGUUCCUGGCCUUGCUUCAAUAUAAUGUGCCAGAUGCAAAGCAUAGUGCGCAAUACGCUGAUGAAGCAGUGCUUGACAAUCAGUAUAACUGUAUAUAAAUCAAAAUUAAAUAAAUCAAGUAAAA
rnacentral:sRNA from 1 species